GUAUUUCCUUCAUAUAUUGCUGCAAAUCAAAAAAGAAAAAAGAAAGAAAGAAAUAAUGGAUGUUUCAGGCUUUAAUCAAACCUAGUGGUAGCCUAACAAGAAGCAGAUUCAAGAGAUCAACUAGAACUGCAGUGUUUCAGUCUCCUUUUUCUUGGACAUGUAGGCUUUAAUUUCUUCAUCGUGAUCAGGGCAUUUUCUUCAAGCAGUGGCAUUUCUAUAACCACCAAUAAGGUGUUGUUUCACUCUACGAACUCACCCUUCAGUUGUUUCUGAACAAAAUCCACACACAGGUAUUAAUAUCUUGCUCAUUUUGCAAUCGAGCAUAUUUCCAUGCUGGGUCUUUUCUUAAACUGUCCUCAACCAUCUAAUUAUUAAAAAAUUAAACUAACUUAAGAAAUUGAUCACAAAACUCAAAAGCUAGGAGUUAACUUGGGACAUACCAAAAAUUUGAUGAAGAUUGAACUUGGAACGCUACUGUUUUGGAGGAUUUUCAUCAAGAAGAGAUGAAGUUGAAGCCUUGAAUGGUUGCUGUUUUCUACCCAUCUUCUCUGUUUCUUAAAGAAACUAAAAGAAUAGAGACUUCAUAAAACAAAGACUUCAAAAAAUUGAGCCAAGAGUCCUCAAAAGAGGUGUCCGUUGGAGAAGAAAAAGAAGAAGAAGAAAAGGAGGAGACGAGGAGGUGUUCGAGACUUUCCUUCCGUUGAAGAAGAAAAAGAAGAAGGAGAAGCUGAGAAGGAGAAGGAGAAGAAGAAGAAGAAGAAGAUUAGGGAGAGCGUUGAAUGUACCUUUUUUUCUUGUAGAUGAAGCCACUGCCUACUUUAUUUUUACAAUAGGUUAAAAAAAUAUAAAUACAUUAUCUUAUAUAUUAAACUACAGCAUUUUAAUGAAUUUGUAAACGUUUUUGGUAGAAACAAAGCUCCAGACCUGGAUGGUUUCACUACAGAGUUCCUUGAGAAGCACUGGCCGAAGCUAAAAGGAAGCUUCAAAAAACUGUUCGACAAUUUUCAUAGAAACGGAAGGCUAAAUGCUUGUGUCCAAGAGAAUUUCAUUUGUUUAAUACAAAAGAAAGAAGAUCCGAUUCACGCAAAGGAAUUUAUACCCAUCAGCCUCACUACCCUCACUUCCAAGGUGGUAGCAAAAGUUUUAGCAGAUCGUCUAAAGCAGGUAAUGGAUUCGAUCAUAAGUCCAUUUCAAAGCACAUUCGUUGAAGGAAGGCAACUUUUAGACCUGGUCUUAAUAGUAAACAAGGCAGUUGAAGAUUAUCGAGCUAAAAAUAAAAAGGGUUGGAUUCUAAAGCUAGAUCUUGAAAAAGCUUUUGAUAAAGUGGACCGGGAGUUUCUUGAAAAGGUGUUCCAUUGCAAGAAAUUCAGCUAUAAAUGGACAACGAGGAUGAUAGGCUGCCUGAAAAACCCUCGAUUCUCUAUUUUCAUUGACAGAUAACCAAGAGGUAGAAUUAGGCUUCUAGAGGCAUUCGACAAAGAGACCCUCUCUCUCCUUUUUUAUUUCUGCUAGUCAGCAAAGUUCUAGGAGUUAAUGAAUGGAAAUUUUGAAGUCUUCACGGGUGGAAAGGAUAAUAUCCACAUUCCUAUUCUCCAUUAUGCUGAUGAUACAAUCCUAUUUUGUAAAUAUGUAGUUUGUAAAUAUGAAGAGACAACGUUUCUUAAGGUUAAAGGAAGCUAUUAAUUUGUUUGAAUGGUGUUCUGGCUAGAAAGUAAACUGCAGUGGAGUUAACAUGGGAGAAGAAGAGCUGAUCCAAAUGGCAAGAAAAUUAGGAUGCAAAUUGGAAAAGCUCCCUUUCUUGUCUUUAGGUCCCCCUUUGGGAGGCUACCCAAGGCAGGAAGUCUUCUGGCAACCAGUAAUUGAUAGGGUGCACAAAAAACUGGAUAGAUGAAAAAAUUCAGUGUUUCAAGAGGUGGAAGACAAACUUAUUGUAACUCGGUUUUGGCCAGCCUUCCAACCUAUUAUUUAUCCAUCUUUGCCAUUCUAGAGAAUGUAGUUUCUCCUCUAGAAAAACUGAUGAGAAAUUUUUGUUGGGGAGGGAACUCCGGUAGCAAAAUAAAUCAUCUGGCGGCAUGGAAAAAGGUUACACCUUCUCAGUUUGAUGUGGGGCUCAGUUUGGGAAGCAUCAAAACUCAAAAUACGGCUCUCCUUGAUAAAUGGGGCUGGAGAUAUACAAAGGAGGAUACUGCGCAGUAGAGACAAGCAAUAAGAAGCAUUCAUGGUAAUGAAGCUUUUGAUUGGCAUACUGAGCAAGUCUGGAAACAGCCUAAAAGCCCUUGGGUCAGCAUCACAAGAACAUGAAGGAAAGUGGAAGUUUUGGCCUCAUUCAAGCUUGGAAAUGGAAGAAGAUUGAACUUCUGGACAGACUCUUGGGCAGGUGAUAUCCCCCUAAAUCUUCAAUUUCCUAAGCUUUUCAGAAUCGCUUUGCUUCCCAACGGUUCGACCACUGCCCAUUGGGACACUGCCACAAAGUAUUGGUCUAUCGUGCUUCAUAGGCUGCUGAAAUAUAAGGAAAUUCCAGAUUUCCAAUCUAAGCUACUCCUCCUCUCUUCUAAAAGAGUAACAGAUUUGGAAAACAGUAGAGUAUGGUCUUUAGGCCCAUCAGGCAGAUCCAGUGAAAUCCCUUUCAGCUCACCUUGCCCCCAUCUUCCCCGCUGGACAAAGCUACAUUCAAAGCUCUUUGGAAGACCAGCAGCCAAGGAGAGUCAACAUAUUAAUUUGGAUUAUGGCUUUCAGUCUCCAAAAUUGUUCCUUGAUCAUUCAGAGAAAACUCCCCGACAAGUGCUUGCUGCCCUCAGUGUGCCCUCUUUGUACGAAGGACAGCGAGGUUUUGUUACAUUUAUUUAUUUUAUGUCCCUAUUCCACUGAAUGUUGGAGAAGUUUCCUUUCUAUUUUUAAUGUAGUUUGGGCUUUCGACGGAUCUCUUUGCUCAAAUGUUUUCCAGUUAUUGAGGGGUCCUCUGUUGCCAAAGAGACUUGAGACUAAUUUGGGCAGCACUUUUGGCAGAAAUCUGAUUUGAGUGCAGUCGGCACAUUUUUCACGACAAGGCAAGAGGCUUUGAAUGUGGAAUUCUGAUUUGACACUAUGGACACGGUUAAGACAAAUACUGCAGCAUAGUGUUCUUUGAAUGUGGAAUUCAAGGAUUACUCAAUUCAGGACGUUUGUUUAAACUGGGCGGCUUUCAUUCAUCAACCACUCUAAUGGGGGCUGAUUUUCCUGCGCUUCUAAGAAGACCAAGGUUUUGCAUCUUUAUGGCCUUUGAUGUUUUUGAGGACCUCUUAUUCAGUUUUGAUAGAUAUAGGAGAUUAUCUUUGGAGGCAUUCUGUAUUUUCCCUCCACUGUACCUGUUUUUUUUUAAUUUUGGUUUCUGUCUUUGUUUCUUCUGUGGUUGUAUGUUUCCAAAAUAUUUGAUUUGUAUUUGUUUUCGGUUUCUUUUAUUUUGGGACAUGAUGAUGACGCUAAGGAGGUGUCAACCUAGUUGAAAUUUCUGGAUGCGUCUCCUGAUCCUAUCUCGCUCUCUUUUUUUUAUGGCUUCUCUAUUAUUCUCAUUGUAUAA